CACCUGCAAUCUAUCAAUUUUUCUAAUUUAAUUGCUUUUGAUUAGCCGGAUUUGAAAAAGAGAGAGAGAGGGAUCUUCGAGCUAAGGAGGCUGAACUAAACAAGAAGGAAUACGUGCUCUUGAUGGAAAUCUUGGCUUUAUGAAUACACAAUCACUUAAAGGAAUACAGACCUACAUUGUUCCGUUGCCAAUUUGCCCAUCUUCCACACUUUUACUCCAAAUGGAUUGUUUAUUUUUCUCCUUUCACAAAGUUAAGGUGCUGGAGCUAAUAACUACAAGAAAAUAUUAUGGUCUCAUGAGUGUUCGAUUCAGAAGUGCAUAUCAAAUCUACAGAAAUGAAGUUUUCUUCAAUCUUGUUUUAAAAGUUAGUUUUGUAUAUUAGUUGUGUGCCUUAUUUAGCAUACAACAACCCUUACCAUAGAUUUAUUGAGCUAUGCAGGCUGUAAAACGGAGAGAAGAUGCAGCAGCAUGAGCUGGUAUUGUUCUUGAGGACAAAAAAUGGCCACCAUUUUUUCCCCAAAUCAUCCAAAAUGAUAUACCAGUUCAUCUAGCAAGAUUGGCUUAUGUUGCAUUUUCAACGUUGUUGGGGUCAGUCGUGCUAUCUUGAUGCAUGGUUCUCAAAACAUGGAGCACUCUACAAGCUUUUCAAUCUUAAAUUUUGCAGAAUUCAAUUGCCAACCGAAGUGGAAUUUUUAAUUUUAUUUUUUGGGUGCAAGACCAGCAUAUUACUGAAGGAAGUGGACAAAAUUAAUGGGGGUCACAUAUGCCUUAAGUUUCUUUUAGGUGCUGCACUUAUUAUAGUAUCAUCUGUGUCACUGUCCAUUAUCUAUUGUAUUCAGUCCAACCUCUACACUUACCAUAAUGUACAGGAAUAUUGCCUGUGUGUGCCCUUCCACCUGCUUCAACUUAUUGCCAAAUGAAUUACUUGGACAUCAUCACCUCUCCAUACUUUUCUCUCCAGAUCUAUGAGAUAUUCUGCUGUGUUAUUUUAUAAUGGCACAGUAAACCUUCUUGUGAUUAUGAGUUGGGUGUUUAAAAACUAACCAGAUUGUUGUAGUGUACAUGGAGUACUGCAUGAACUUGCUUUAUUAAGUCUGUGGUUGGUGCUUAUAUCGGAAGGUCUGAAACCAGAAAGCCACUAUUUGGAUUUUCUGCUUCUCCAACAUAUUGAAAUAAUUUGUUGAUGUUUCUGCUCAGUAGAUUCAAGAUAUUGUUCCAAGCCUUUGGGGUGUGGGAUUACAUUUUGUUGUAUGGAGUAUUAAAGUUUUUGGUCACUUGAUAUUUUUCUUUGUAGUAGUUUAUUCACGUAACAUGUGAUUUGAAUUGU